AAUACGCAUGCUGCAACUUACAGCCGGUCAAACCAGUGUACGUGGAGCGCCACAAUCCACAGCUUUUCAAUCCUUGGGGCAUGGUGUAAUUUCACAGUAACGGAACGUUAAUCGUGAAAUUUUGAACCGUUACGGUAAAAGAUGGGAGCUGCAAAGAGGGGAGAUUGUAGACAAUUCACAGACUAAUCCACUCUUGUUGAAUAAGGCACCACGUAUCACAAAACGAACACCCAAACAAGGAAUUUGAUGAAGACAAUGGAGCAAAGCGAAAGGGAAACACAAAAUGGAAGAACAGAAUUGAAAAAAUAAGGCCAAGAAGCCUCAGAAACAGGGCAUCGCCUGAGCAGAAGCGCGAAAUGCGGAGUUUCUCUCCACCGGCUCUCACGAGAGGAGAGAGGAAACCCAGAGCGAGAGGAAGGGGAAUAACGGAGCCCCCUGUUUCAUUAUAGCCUUUGCAGAAACGAUAUCAAGAUUCAAUAGUCAAGGUCGCGGUCCAAGGCAUAGCCGUUGCAGAAACCAUACCAAUAUCGAUGGUGUAGGGGUUGAGGAGAUUUCCCCUCAUCUUGGCCGAUCAUCACCAAGGCUACAGCUGAUAGCACACUUUAGUGACUUUACAGACGAGCUUGGCUGGGAUACUGAGCCUCUUUUUCCUCUCCCAAAUGAAGAUGCUACAAAAAUAGAGUUAAUAUGGAGAACAACGAAGCAGGUCUACGCUACACUGACCAUCUGUACCACAGCUCGUUACCAUCAGACGAAGAAGUAUCUGAUGAUGAUUGCUUAUUACGAAUUGGGGAAGAUAAGGAAGGGUUAUUUUGUGAUGGAGGAGAGAAAGGGCUUGGUCAAACAUCUGAAAUUGGUAAUGAUAAAUGUUAUAUGAUGGAUAUGGAGAUGUUAGAAGGAACGAAUGUAGGUGAGUGUGUAGACUUAAAUGGCAAGGAUUACAGUAAUUUGAAUAUGGAUGACAUGAAGGAUGUUGUGUUCAGCAGCGUAUGUGAAGCUGAAAAGUUCUAUCAUUUAUACUCUCGUGUUAUUGGAUUCAGCACAAGGAGGGACAGGAAGGUUAGAGCAUAUUGUUCCGAAUUUGUCAUAAGAAGGGAGUGGGUAUGUUGAUGUUCGAAACAGGGCAAAGCAACAAUUAAGGUCAAGAAACAGGGAGUGAAAGAAAAGGGGAAGAGUCCGAUCCAAGCUGAGAAGAAGAAGAUGAAGAGGAAUCAAUGCCCAAGGGGUAAAAGAUAUAGCCGAGUUGGAUGCAUGGCUGCAUUUGGAAUUCGAUACUGCGAGGAAAGGAAGAAGUAUUUCGUAUCAAAGUUCAUAACCAAUCACAAUCAUGAUGUUGCUGUUUCAGAAGAGGUUCAGUUCCUUCGUUCUCACCGAGGAGUGAAUGACAGCGUCAUUGCUCAGGUUGAGGCUCUACAGAAAGCACAAGUGCACAUAAGCCGGAUAUAUGAUGUAAUACCCCGAAAAAAAUCCAAAUUAAAUUCCGUGGAUUUUUAGAAGUGAUUUCACGAUAGUGGGAGCGAGUACGAGGCUCGGAGAAGUUGUGGAAUUA